rnacentral:rRNA from 1 species
GACGAACGCUGGCGGCGCGCCUAACACAUGCAAGUCGAACGGGGUCUUUUAGGAAGCUUGCUUCCUGGCUGACCUAGUGGCGGACGGGUGAGUAACACGCGAGCAACCUGCCGAAGAGUGGGGGAUAACGUUUGGAAACGAACGCUAAUACCGCAUAACAUCGGGGAAAGGCAUCUUUUUCCGAUCAAAGGAGCAAUCCGCUUUUUGAUGGGCUCGCGCCCGAUUAGAUAGUUGGUGAGGUAACGGCUCACCAAGUCGACGAUCGGUAGCCGGACUGAGAGGUUGAACGGCCACAUUGGGACUGAGACACGGCCCAGACUCCUACGGGAGGCAGCAGUGGGGAAUAUUGCACAAUGGGGGAAACCCUGAUGCAGCGACGCCGCGUGAGGGAAGAAGGUUUUCGGAUUGUAAACCUCUGUCUUUGGGGAAGAGUAGAAGACGGUACCCAAGGAGGAAGCCACGGCUAACUACGUGCCAGCAGCCGCAGUAAGAC